UGCAUCUUUUCUUCCAGCUCUCAUGGAAACAAGCAUUGCCACAGCCUCUGGAUGAGCCAGCAGAGCCCAGUCAUCUGGCAACCAUGACUGGUCUCUGGCAUCUGAGAAGAACAUCAACGAAAGAAAACGAGAGGAUAAAAAAAAGAAGUGAACACAGACAGUUCAUUUCUCCCCUUCUUAAAUUCUGCAGUUCCACUUGCCUGACUCGACAUUAAUUUUGUUUUGAAUGCUAUAUAAAUUAAUGUUGGAGCCCUAUCCAGUUUUCAGACCUCUUUGCUGUAUGCCUAGAAUAGGGCUCAGUAAUGUUACUGCUGGCAUGAAGGCUCCAUAAAGCUGACAGCUCACUGACAUAAUAUUUUAAAUAAGGAUAUAAUUCUCAUCCAUAAUGACAUUCUGUGGGAAAAUUUUGCUU
rnacentral:lncRNA from 1 species